rnacentral:rRNA from 1 species
ACGGAAGGCAGCAGUGGGGAAUAUUGCACAAUGGGCGCAAGCCUGAUGCAGCGAUGCCGCGUGAGGGAAGAAGGUUUUCGGAUUGUAAACCUCUGUCAACAGGGACGAAAAUGACUGUACCUGUGAAGGAAGCUCCGGCUAACUACGUGCCAGCAGCCGCGGUAAUACGUAGGGAGCGAGCGUUAUCCGGAAUUACUGGGUGUAAAGGGAGUGUAGGCGGGACUGUAAGUCAGAUGUGAAAUAUGCCGGCUCAACUGGCAGACUGCAUUUGAAACUGCGGUUCUUGAGUGAAGUAGAGGUAAGCGGAAUUCCUAGUGUAGCGGUGAAAUGCGUAGAUAUUAGGAGGAACAUCAGUGGCGAAGGCGGCUUACCGGGCUUUAACUGACGCUGAGGCACGAAAGCGUGGGGAUCGAACAGGAUUAGAUACCCUGGUA